rnacentral:rRNA from 1 species
GAUGAACGCUAGCGGCAGGCUUAACACAUGCAAGUCGAGGGGUAACAGGGAAGAGCUUGCUUUUCUGCUGACGACCGGCGCACGGGUGCGUAACGCGUAUAGAACCUACCUUUUACAGGGGAAUAGCCCAGAGAAAUUUGGAUUAAUGCCCCAUAGUAUUAUUGAAUGGCAUCAUUUAAUAAUUAAACAUUUAUGGGUAAAAGAUGGCUAUGCGUUCUAUUAGCUAGAUGGUAAGGUAACGGCUUACCAUGGCAACGAUAGAUAGGGGUCCUGAGAGGGAGAUCCCCCACACUGGUACUGAGACACGGACCAGACUCCUACGGGAGGCAGCAGUGAGGAAUAUUGGACAAUGGAGGCAACUCUGAUCCAGCCAUGCCGCGUGCAGGAAGACGGUCCUAUGGAUUGUAAACUGCUUUUAUAUAGGAAGAAACCUUUCCACGUGUGGAAAGCUGACGGUACUAUAAGAAUAAGCACCGGCUAACUCCGUGCCAGCAGCCGCGGUAAUACGGAGGGUGCAAGCGUUAUCCGGAAUCAUUGGGUUUAAAGGGUCCGUAGGCGGACUAAUAAGUCAGGGGUGAAAUCCAACAGCUUAACUGUUGAACUGCCUUUGAUACUGUUAGUCUUGAGUUAUAUGGAAGUAGAUAGAAUAUGUAGUGUAGCGGUGAAAUGCUUAGAGAUUACAUAGAAUACCGAUUGCGAAGGCAGUCUACUACGUAUAUA